GAUGAACGCUGGCGGCGUGCCUAAUACAUGCAAGUCGAGCGAACGGACGAGAAGCUUGCUUCUCUGAUGUUAGCGGCGGACGGGUGAGUAACACGUGGAUAACCUACCUAUAAGACUGGGAUAACUUCGGGAAACCGGAGCUAAUACCGGAUAAUAUUUUGAACCGCAUGGUUCAAAAGUGAAAGACGGUCUUGCUGUCACUUAUAGAUGGAUCCGCGCUGCAUUAGCUAGUUGGUAAGGUAACGGCUUACCAAGGCAACGAUGCAUAGCCGACCUGAGAGGGUGGACGGGCACACGGGAACUGAGGCACGGUCCAGACUCCGACGGGGGGCAGCAGUAGGGAAUCUUCCGCGAUGGGCGAAAGCCUGACGGAGCGACGCCGCGUGAGUGAUGAAGGUCUUCGGAUCGUAAAACUCUGUUAUUAGGGAAGAACAUAUGUGUAAGUAACUGUGCACAUCUUGACGGUACCUAAUCAGAAAGCCACGGCUAACUACGUG
rnacentral:rRNA from 1 species